CAUUAAAAGAUACAACAUGUCUAAAAUUUAUGAAUAUGCUAAUUAUUUUGUUCUCUUUACUUGUCAGUACAUACCUGGGGUAGUAUGCUCACUUCUAGAUGCCACUGCUUGGGAAGGACAUUUAUAAGCACAAGAAAAGGACAAUUUGAAAGUUCAUCCCUUAACUCUGGCCAGGACCCUGUUGCCAGCAGCGGCUUUGACUGAAAUAGACAUCAGGAGUGCCAAGUUUCCAGGCACCAGCUGCCAUGGUCCAUUCUCUAAGCUGCUGCGGUUGUACUGGCAGCUGUAUCAGCCUAAGACAGGCAGACAUCAACAGGUAAAGUGUGUGACUGCAAUUUUUUUCUCUAUAGACCCUAGGGGGUAUAAUGGUUGGGGGCUGGACUUGGGGGCAGGAAGAUCUGAAGUAAAAUCUGGCCUCAAAUAGCUAUUAGCUAUGCUGGUCUCUUUGUUAUCACAUAGGGUCACAAUGAGGUGGACAUUACUAAAAUGAUUGGACAACAAAAGACCUACUCAAAUUUUGCCAUAGAACCAUGGACUUCCAUAGAAAAUAGUGUGAGAAAUGUUGAUCUUGUUAAUUCCUUCAUUUUACAGAAAAGCAAACCAGAGAAGUAAAGGCACUUGCUCAAGAAGCCAGAGAGCUCAGGAGAGUUGUGCAAAGACCCACAAAAAAAUCACAAAUCCUCUGAGUUGGAUCAUGAAAUCAUAUAUCUAGAGUUGGAAGAGACCUCAGAAACCAUCUCAUCUAUUUCCUACUGCAUCGUGUUGCUGAUGAAAGAACUAAAGUCAAGUGACUUGCCUAAGAUCACACAGGUAGUAAAUUUCAGAGGUGGAUUUUAAACCCAUGUCCUUUCAUUCCAGAGACAGGAUUCUUUCCAUUAGAUGACAUCAACUGUGUCUGGUCUAUUAAGCAGCUUACCAUCUCUCUCUCUCUCUCUGGCUGCUUCAGGAUAAAGAAAUGGAUGGAAUGAGGAUAUAAUGAAAUAGAACCAAUGCUAAGGACAAAGUUCAUUCCUCCCUCUAUUCAUAGUCUCAUUGGCUCACUGACUUGGAACAACUGGCAGACCCAAAGCUCAUCUACUCCAACCCCCUCAUUUUCACGAUGAGGAAACAAAUUAAGUGAUUUUCCAAAGGCCACAAGGGUAAUAUACAAUAGAGGUGUGAUAUGAAUUUGGUUUUUCAGAUUGCAAAUUCAGUACUAUCUUCCCCUGUAUCACACUAACUGCUCCAUGGGACAAUAGGAAAGAUAGGUUCAC
rnacentral:lncRNA from 1 species